rnacentral:lncRNA from 1 species
UGGCGACCGAUGCGUCCCGCGCUCUAGGCGAAGACCGCGGCCCCGUCCCCGCGCCUCCACCGCCUUCUUCCAGGAGGAGGGGCCGUGCGGCGCCUGCCCGGGGGCCCUCAGGCCGCAGGCGGGCGCGAGCUUCAGGGAACUUAGGGGGCUCCCGCCUCCCCGGCCACGCGAGCGGGAACAGUCUCCUCCACUCGGAGCGAGUUCAUCCAGUCCUCCAUGUUAGGAUGCAGCAACCAGGUAUAAUCUUGGAAGCAGAGACAGACCCUCACCAGACACAGUCUCCUGGGACCUUGAUCUUGGACCUUCCAGCCUCUAAAACUGUAAGCAAUAAUUUUCUGUUAUUUAUAAAUUACCCAGUGUAAAGUAUUUUGUUGCAGUAGCAGGAAUGGCCUAAGACAUGUAGUGAGUGUUUCAGUUCUGAAACUGCAAGUAGAGAUCCUGGUUGUGGACUCUAAGUUCCUAAACCUCCUCAUCACUUAUUGGGAAAGUCAGUUUUGGGGCUCAGGACCAUUAGGAAAAUUCAAGAUUCCUGCCUCAUUCAAAUGGAGGGCUAAAUGCAGGGUAGGAAUAGCAAGAAGGUAUUUUCUUUCAAGCCCAUUUCCCUCUUCUUUCAGGCUGUUAAAACAUGUUCACUUGUUCACCUGCUAGUGGCCAUUGGCUCAGGGAAAGUGAAUCAGAUCCCUUGUUCAAGGGGAUAAAUUUAGUUACUCUUAGCCAAUCAUGGUGAUUCUAUUCUGCUUUUCAGAGACUGGUUUAACAAGAGUCAUGUGAUCUUUCUGGUCAAUGAAAGAUAAGGGGAAGCCAGCCUGGAGUUGCUUCAGAAAGGCUGCUCUUAAACAGAAACAUAUUUGAAGAAACAGUAACUUUAUUCUGACUCUUUAUGUGUGUGGCGGAGGAAGUGAUGCCUAGAGCUACUACAGGCACUUAGGCCAUGAGGAGAACCAGUGUAAGUCAGCAAGCCAAGAUGCUAAAGACAGCAGAAUAAGAAAAUGGCAAGAAUCUUGUCCUUGAUGCUGUUGAGCUACUGAAUUAACCAGGGCUGCAACUCCCUGUAUUAGUAAGGAUUCUCCAGAGGAACAGAACCAAUAGAAUGUAUAUAUAAGUAUAUAAUAAGGAAUUAGCUCAUGCAGUUACAGAGGCUGACAAAUUCCAAUAUCUGCAGUUGGCAAGCUGGAGACUCAGGAGAACUGACGGUGUAGUCUAACGGCUAGCAGGCCCAAGAACCAGGAAAAGCUGAUUAAAGUUCAAAGGCGGGAAAAAAAAACCCAAUGUCCCAACUUGAAGGCAUUUAGGCAGGAGGAAUUCCCUCUUAUUUAUGAGACUGUCAGCCUUUUUGUUCUAUUUAGGCUAUCAAUUGUUUUGAUGAGGCCCACAACAUUAGAAAGGGCAGUGUGCUUUGCUCAGUCUAUCAAUUUCAACGUUAAACUCAUCCAGUAUAAUGUUUGAUCAACUAUCUGGGUAUGCCAUGGUUCAGUCAACUUGACACAUAAAGUUAACCAAUCGUCAAAACCCCCUACUUUUGGUUUCUUGAUAAAUAAAAUAAUAUUUAUCUUCUGUUUUAGUGGAAUAAAGGUAUGGAAAACGCUUUGAUCAGUUUCUGUCUUUUGUUGAUCUGGAAUUGCAGUAUCAUUGUGAUUAAAGAAACUAAAAUACAGUGUAAUUAGGGGAUCACAUCCAAAUUUUGCAAACCCUUUGGUAAUGUUUAGAAUAUAUUUGAUUAAUUCAUUUUCAAUUCAACAAACACCUGUUAAAUACUAACUAUAUGUCAGCUAGGUACAUGUUAUAUGUCAAUGAAAAAAAAAAGAAAAAAUUCCCCUUGUGGGGCUGACAUCUAGCAUAUAAACAAAUGGUCAAUUUUAAUAUAGUUUUGGGUUUAUUUAAGCUUAUUACAGAAUAAAAAAAUAGUGCCCCAAACUGACCACUCUUGCAUAGCCAUGCCCAGCAGCCAAUACUACAUAAUGUCAACCUACAACACAGCACCAUCAAGUUGUUACUCAAAUGAGACCUAGGCUUGACGGGAUGUUAGGAGGUCCAUUUCUAUCAAUCAGAGUCUGGAGUUCAUCCAUCGCCCUAAGCCUGCUAUUGAGGGAGCCCUAUGUAAACAUUUAUGUGGCCACCAAUAAAUAGUAAGCCCCUCAAUCCCAACCCUAACCUCACUGUGUUUCUAGAUUCUUGCCUCUGUUCUUUGUUUGCACUUUAUUCUUUGCUGGUAACGGAUUCUAGCCCUGAACUCCAGCCAAAUUGUCUGGGCCUACGAAUUGACUAGUCUUGCCAACCUCUUCUCUCUGGGGGAUCUGGAUCCUAUCCCAAUUUUCUCCCCUCUGCAGCCCACUGGCUAAGGCCCUAUUACAACCCAGACAACCUCUCCCAUUCCGAACAUAAAACUGUCAUCUGUUGGAUAAUAACAUUUCCCACAUAACCAGUUCCUGGUGCCAUGCUCCCACCUGGCUUGAGAUGGUGACUGUCACCAUUAAUCUGGUUUGGAUUCAGGUUUGGUAUGUCCUGUUAGAUGCUGAGACUUGGGGGAGCUUAUAGUCAUAUACCUCAGACCUCCCCUAUCCCCACCAGUCUUGGCUUACUUCUCUCUCUCCUACAGAUCUACAGCUGGGGUUCUCUUCUGGCUCUCCUGCCAAGGCCAAUCAGAUCGCAAUACAAAAAAGUAACACUUUCCAGCAUUCUGUAGAGUCUGAUUUUCUAAACAGUUCUUUAGAUUUUAAUGCAUCUCAAUAAUAGUUAUAAGUAACAUUUUAUUUUUUUCUGUGGCAGAUUAGGCCUCCUGCAAAAUAGUCAUUUUCAAAAAUUGUCUAAGAUUCAGAUGCCGCACCCAAUGUUUAUGCUUUUUGCAGCAAUAUGGUCCUAAUUCAACAUCAUGCAGCGUGCAAAUCAGUGUUUCUUCUAACUUCAACAGUGAUAAAUAUUUAUUAAGCCUCCACUAUGUUCAUGGAACUAUACCAGGUGCUGCUAUAACUAUUUUUCCUUUCCAGGAAAAAUAAAUUCAAAUAUGGAAUAAAAAGCCCAAACUCAUGAAACUGGACUGACUUUGCUUCUUAAAAAUUCAACAUGCUGCAGCUGCAUGCUUAAACCUGGUUCAAACAGGAUGAUGAAAUAAAACAUUAUUAUUGUGGGAAUAUAACACUGUCUAAAUAAAUAGCCAACAUGAAAACUGUCUCUAAAACCCAUAGCAUCUGUAUGUGCAGACUGUAAGUAAGUUAUAUAAUUCCUCCACUAUUCUGUAACAUGGCCAAUUCAGAAUGUCUUACCAUUAAUCUUGAAGACAUUUAAAGAUGUUCACUUUUCUAACUCUUCCCUUUGAAAAUAUAUUUGAACCUUAUUUGCAAUAAAAAUCUCAUAAUAUU